rnacentral:lncRNA from 1 species
CUAAAUUUAAAGCUUGGGUCACUUGGUGCCUUGUGUAAGGGUUGCAGGGAUUGUGGUCUGCUGAAUUUCAAAUUUAGUAAAGUCAUAGCUAAAAAGGGAAGAGACUUCUAUGAUAAGAGUUUUUGCUAAGUGUUGUGUUAUUGAAAACACAUGCCCCAAUUUUAACAGGCUUUUUUUUUUUUUUUGCUGCUGCUGCUGCUGUUUGGAGUGUGGUUUACAGAAACAUCACAGGGAAAUGAAGAGAAGGAAUUUUCCCAUAUAUGAAACAAUAUUGCCUCUGUAAAGUCUGUGUUUCUGUGUACAGAGCUGGGUUAGCAAUCUGCCUCCUAGUCCCAGAUGAUUGUAAACAAGCCUCUGUGUAUGCCUCCAGUAUAUUUUCUUCAGAGAGUUGGAGCAGCCUCCAGCACAGAAAUUUCAGCCAGUGUUAUUGCCUGUCAGUUCUAAUCCCUCAGAAUUUCAGCCAGCAAGGGUAUAAUAAGGUAAGUUUUGUCUUUUCAAA